rnacentral:rRNA from 1 species
UACGGAGGGGGCAAGCGUUGUCCGGAAUCAUUGGGCGUAAAGAGCGUGUAGGCGGCCAGGUAAGUCUGCUGUGAAAUCUCGAGGCUCAACUUCGAGCUGUCGGUGGAAACUGUCUGGCUAGAGUCCGGAAGAGGAGAAUGGAAUUCCUGGUGUAGCGGUGAAAUGCGCAGAUAUCAGGAAGAACACCCGUGGCGAAGGCGGUUCUCUGGGACGUUACUGACGCUGAGACGCGAAAGCGAGGGGAGCGAACAGG